AGGAUAAUAGUUAAAUUUAACAUUUAAGUUGCAUUUAAAAAAUAUUGAUCAAUCAAUUUAUCUUA
rnacentral:tRNA from 1 species